UACGUAGGCAGCAAGCGUUGUUUGGAAUUACUGGGCGUAAAGAGUGUGUAGGCGGUGCUCUAAGUUCGGUGUGAAAUCUCCCGGCUCAACUGGGAGGGUGCGCCGAAAACUGGGGUGCUGGAGCGCGGGAGAGGAAAGCGGAAUUCCUGGUGUAGCGGUGAAAUGCGCAGAUAUCAGGAAGAACACCCGUGGCGAAAGCGGCUCUCUGGAACGGUACUGACGCUGAGACGCGAAAGCGUGGGGAGCGAACAGG
rnacentral:rRNA from 1 species